UGAGGGAAAGGUGAAAAGUACCCCGGGAGGGGAAUGAAAUAGACCUGAAAUUGUUAACUAACAAGCAGACAGAGGCUCGCAAGAGCUGAUGUCGUGCCUAUUGAAGAAUGAACCGGUGAGUUAUUCCACAUGCGCUUGUUUAACUUUGAUUAUUCAAAGGUAGGCGUAGUGAAAGCAUGCUCUAACUGAGCGUUUGCGCAUGGGAAUAGACCCGAAACUGGGUGAGCUAACCUUGGACAGGGUGAACCCUAUCGAAAGAUGGGGGGAGGCCCGAACUCGUGUACGUAGCAAUGUGCUGAGAUGAUCUGAGGUUAGGGGCAAUAUGCCAAUCGAACCCAGAGAUAGCGGGUUCUCCCCGAAAUAUAUCUAGGUAUAGCGGUCCCGUAAUGAAUUGUGUGGGGUAGAGCACUGAAUGGUUCGUCACGUCGCAAGAUGUGAUAACCAAUCAAACUCCGAAUACGCGCAAUUUUAUCGGGCUAGUCAGGCUGGUCGGGCUAAGCUGAUCAGUCAAAAGGGAAACAGCCCAGACUCACAUCUAAGGUCUCUAAAUAAAAGCUAAGUUUAGAAGGAAGUCAGAUUCCACAGACAACCAGGAGGUUGGCUUAGAAGCAGCCAUCCUUUAAAGAUAGCGUAACAGCUCACUGGAGGAUGGAAUUUGGCGCCGAAAAUUUAUCGAGGAUUAAGCUUUUUACCGAAGAUUGAGCUUUGCCGCAAGGCAAGGGGUAGGGGAGCGUUGUAAGUGCAGUGAAGCCGAACUGUAAAGUUUGGUGGAGCGCUUAGAAGUGAGAAUGCCGGUAUGAGUAGCGAAAUACGCCUGAGAAUGGCGUACGCCGAAUGCCCGAGGUUUCCUCCGCAAUGUAAGUCAUCGGAGGGUUAGUCGGUCCUAAGGGUGCACCUCGUUUAAUUGGGGGGUAGCCCGAUGGAGAAGUCGUUGAAAUUCGACUACAGAGUAUAUCAAAUUCCAAGGUGGUGACGAAGGUGGAAUAAUUGAGCAGCCUUUUGGCUGUCUAAGCAACAAGAUAGGGUUAGUUGGAAAAUCCGCAAACCUGUUUAAUUAAGUUGUGAUGGAGUAAUCCGAGGAAUCGGAAAAUUCAAUGUGUUUCAGCUUCCAAGAAAAUCCUCAUUGGGUCCCCAGUCGCAAGACGAAGGACAAAGUUAUACUUUACCGUACCGAAAACUGACACAGGUGGGCUGGUCGAGUAGACUAAGGCGAUCGGGAGAAAGUGGUUCAAGGAACUCGGCAAAAAAUCUGGGCGUAACCUUUGGGAGAUGCCCUGCCGUCGCAAGACGGUUGCAACAAAAGAGUAUUUAGCGACUGUUUAUCUAAAACACAGGUCCCUGCAAAGCUGAAAAGCAAAGUAUAGGGGCUGACGCCUGCCCAGUGCUGGUAAGUCAAAAGUAUCUAGUGAUCUCGCAAGAGUUAGCUUAGUACUUAAGCUCCAGUAAACGGCAGCAGUAACUAUGAACACAGUUUGUAGUUUUAAAAGUCGACCAAAUGCUGGAACAUCCGUACCGUUAACGAACGGUUGCAGUAUCUGACUCUACUAUAGUAUUAUAGUAAUAAUGAGUUCAGUGCGGACAAUCAGCAGGAAAGGCUUGAGUUCGGAAAAAUUAGGAUUUUUUCUUGCAGGAUUUGUAGAAGGAGAAGGAAGUUUCAAUGUAUCAUUACGGAAAAAGUCAGAUUACAAAGUAAACUGGCAAGUUGUAAUGAGCUUUAAUGUUUCUCAAAAAGAUCCAACAUUGCUUUAUCUAUUAAAGCAGGAAUUGGAAUGCGGAAUCAUUAAAGUACGAAAAUUUGACAACUUACAUUCCUUCGACGUAACAAAUCCAGAGGAUAUAAUUCAAAAAGUUGUUCCAUAUUUUCAAAAAUAUCCAGUUCAAUCAGAUUCUAAGAAGAGAAACUUUUCUCUGUUUUGCGAAACAGCAAAGCUAAUGGAGGAUGGUCAACAUAGAAAUUUGAUAGGACUUAGGAAAAUUCUAGAACUUCGGGAAAAAAUUAACGAAGGAAAGGGAAGAACAAGAAAGUAUGGGAUACAAGAUAUUUUUCCGGCUUAAGAAUCCUCAGAGACUAUACGUCGACCUCCGAUUUAAUCGGAGAUGAUAUAGUCCGACCUUUGUAGCGAUACAAAGAGACGUAACCAAUCGUCCAC
rnacentral:rRNA from 1 species